GGGACAUGGCCGGAACUAAAGUGCGCGGUGUCGCAGUUGGUGCACGCUGUGACUGCUGGGGUUGAAUGUAGCGCUUGGUGACCUUUCCUCUUUUCUUUUUUCAUUCGCCUCAGAAGAGAAGUCACCACACUCAUGGCAGGGAUUUUGUGCUCAAUAGUUCAGAGGCCCACAGGCAGACACCAAACUGUGACAAAAGGUGUGGAGUCUCUUAUUGUACAGAUUGGAUUUGUCACAAAUUUACCAAGUCAAGAAUUCCAGAUAAAGUAUUUCAGCCUUCACCUGCAGAUCAUGAAAAAUAUGGUGGGGAUCCACAGCACCCUCAUAAACUGCAUAUUGUUACCAGAAUAAAAAGUACAAAAAGACGUCCAUAUUGGGAAAAAGAUAUAAUAAAGAUGCUUGGAUUAGAAAAAGCACAUACUCCUCAAGUUCACAAGAAUAUCCCUUCAGUGAAUGCAAAACUGAAAGUGGUUAAACAUUUGAUAAGGAUCAAGCCCCUGAAGUUGCCCCAAGGACUUCCAGCAGAGGAGGACAUGUCUAACACGUGCCUCAAGAGCACUGGGGAAUUAGUGGUGCAGUGGCAUCUAAACCCCAUAGACCAGGAAACAGUUAAGUCCUAAGGCCAGAGCAGUUUCAUGUUAAAAAAUGCAAAUCAUUU